AGAUUAAACUAAAGAGUUUGAUCCUGGCUCAGAUUGAACGCUGGCGGCAUGCCUUACACAUGCAAGUCGAACGGCAGCACGGAGCUUGCUCUGGUGGCGAGUGGCGAACGGGUGAGUAAUAUAUCGGAACGUACCCUGGAGUGGGGGAUAACGUAGCGAAAGUUACGCUAAUACCGCAUACGAUCUAAGGAUGAAAGUGGGGGAUCGCAAGACCUCAUGCUCCUGGAGCGGCCGAUAUCUGAUUAGCUAGUUGGUGGGGUAAAGGCCCACCAAGGCAUCGAUCAGUAGCUGGUCUGAGAGGACGACCAGCCACACUGGAACUGAGACACGGUCCAGACUCCUACGGGAGGCAGCAGUGGGGAAUUUUGGACAAUGGGGGCAACCCUGAUCCAGCAAUGCCGCGUGAGUGAAGAAGGCCUUCGGGUUGUAAAGCUCUUUUGUCAGGGAAGAAAAGGCUGUGGCUAAUAUCUGCGGCUCAUGACGGUACCUGAAGAAUAAGCACCGGCUAACUACGUGCCAGCAGCCGCGGUAAUACGUAGGGUGCAAGCGUUAAUCGGAAUUACUGGGCGUAAAGCGUGCGCAGGCGGUUUUGUAAGUC
rnacentral:rRNA from 1 species